GUCCUAGCCGUAAACGAUGGGCACUUGGUAAGGGGAUUCCUAUGGUCCUCCUUGCCGUAGCUAAUGUGUUAAGUGCCCCGCCUGGGGAGUACGCUCGCAAGGGUAAACUCAAAGGAAUUGACGGGGCUCACACAAGCGGUGGAGCAUGUGGUUCAAUUCGAAGCAACGCGAAGAACCUUACCUGGGCUUGACAUGCACGGAUUAGUUCUAUGAAAGUAGGGCAACAGCCCUUCGGGGUCGGAACGUGCACAGGUGUUGCAUGGCUGUCGU
rnacentral:rRNA from 1 species